AGCGGCAGACGGGUGAGUAACGCGUGGGAACGUACCUUUUGGUUCGGAACAACACAGGGAAACUUGUGCUAAUACCGGAUAAGCCCUUACGGGGAAAGAUUUAUCGCCGAAAGAUCGGCCCGCGUCUGAUUAGCUAGUUGGUGAGGUAACGGCUCACCAAGGCGACGAUCAGUAGCAGGUCUGAGAGGAUGAUCAGCCACAUUGGGACUGAGACACGGCCCAAACUCCUACGGGAGGCAGCAGUGGGGAAUAUUGGACAAUGGGCGCAAGCCUGAUCCAGCCAUGCCGCGUGAGUGAUGAAGGCCCUAGGGUUGUAAAGCUCUUUUGUGCGGGAAGAUAAUGACGGUACCGCAAGAAUAAGCCCCGGCUAACUUCGUGCCAGCAGCCGCGGUAAUACGAAGGGGGCUAGCGUUGCUCGGAAUCACUGGGCGUAAAGGGUGCGUAGGCGGGUCUUUAAGUCAGGGGUGAAAUCCUGGAGCUCAACUCCAGAACUGCCUUUGA
rnacentral:rRNA from 1 species